rnacentral:rRNA from 1 species
GACGAACGCUGGCGGCGUGCUUAACACAUGCAAGUCGAACGGAAAGGCCCUGCUUUUGUGGGGUGCUCGAGUGGCGAACGGGUGAGUAACACGUGAGUAACCUGCCCUUGACUUUGGGAUAACUUCAGGAAACUGGGGCUAAUACCGGAUAGGAGCUCCUGCUGCAUGGUGGGGGUUGGAAAGUUUCGGCGGUUGUGGAUGGACUCGCGGCUUAUCAGCUUGUUGGUGGGGUAGUGGCUUACCAAGGCUUUGACGGGUAGCCGGCCUGAGAGGGUGACCGGCCACCUUGGGACUGAGAUACGGCCCAGACUCCUACGGGAGGCAGCAGUGGGGAAUAUUGCACAAUGGGCGGAAGCCUGAUGCAGCAACGCCGCGUGCGGGAUGACGGCCUUCGGGUUGUAAACCGCUUUCGCCUGUGACGAAGCGUGAGUGACGGUAAUGGGUAAAGAAGCACCGGCUAACUACGUG